rnacentral:rRNA from 1 species
GAUGAACGCUGACAGAAUGCUUAACACAUGCAAGUCUUUGGCGAAGCUGUGCUCGCACAGCCUAGCCAAGGCGGACGGGUGAGUAACGCGUAAGGAACUUGCCCUGCAGUCAGGGAUAACAGACGGAAACGACUGAUAAGACCUGGUAAAGUCAGGCGGACUCAUGUCCAGCCUGAUGAAAAGAGAUGCUGCAGGAGAGCCUUGCGUCCUAUUAGCUUGUUGGUGGGGUAACGGCCCACCAAGGCGAUGAUAGGUAGCCGGCCUGAGAGGGUGGACGGCCACAAGGGGACUGAGAUACGGCCCUUACUCCUACGGGAGGCAGCAGGGGGGAAUAUUGGACAAUGGGGGCAACCCUGAUCCAGCAAUUCUGUGUGCACGAUGAAGGUUUUCGGAUUGUAAAGUGCUUUCAGCAGGGAAGAAAAAAAUGACGGUACCUGCAGAAGAAGCGACGGCUAAAUACGUG